CAUUUACCCAUUUGUUCCAAACCUUUAUAUUCAGGCCAUGAGAGAAGCAGUACCUUAUAAUGGUUCCUUGUUCAAAGCACUCAAUAUUCCUAGGAUGUGGUCUCCCAGCUGACUUCAUAACUGAAUCAUCAGUAAUUAAUUUCAUUGUUCUAUUAGAUGACCUCAACCUCUCGGCCAUUUGCUCUGUGUUUCACACAGGACUUUACUGAAGACUCUAAGGAGGACCUGUAUCUGUUGGGAUCCUUAGGGCAAGCCACAGAAACAAGCUUUGGAUACUAGAAGCAGAAAAUGGAGUUAUUGAAGACUAUUGUGGAGUUUACUGUGAGCCAGAGAACCAGGCUGGGUGGCUGUACCACUUAGAAUGAGAUCCAAACUCACACCAUAGUUCCAUCCUUGAGGUCGCCAUGUUGCUGCCACCCCUCCUGCCACCCCACCACUGAAGCUUUGGAUGCUGGAUUCUGGGCACAGCGGGGAGAAGUGUUGGUUAUUACCAUUUUAAUAUGUUUUCUUUCAAGACCUUUUCAAAAUAUACAUACGUAUUUUUAUUUCUAUUCAAAAUGGGAUACAUUUUUGAAGGUUAGCAAUAUAUUGUGAACAUUUUCUUUCCAUGCUCAGAAACAUUUUUCUAUAAUAUAAUUUAUAGUGAUAUAAACUAUCUCAUAGACCUACCAUAGUUUACCUAACAAAUCCCAAAUCAUUUGUGCCAUUUCUAAAUUUUUAUUAUCUUAUGUAAUGCUUUAAUGAACAUCCUUGCAUUUAUAUUUUAUACAAUUUUAGAAGUGGAAUUACUGGUUCAAAAUACAUGGUGAUUUUUAAUUCUUCUGUUGAAUAUUGACAAAUUGCAAUCCUGAGAGUUAUCUUGAAGGAUAGAGUAUAUGCCCAGGGUUCUUUUUUAAGAAAUAAUUUGUAAUGUGAAACAGAAUAGGCUAAAUGUUUUUUAUUCUCUUAGUCCUACUCUGUCAUUCUGCAGUUUCACUUAUUUGGAUUCAAAUUCUAAUUCCAGCCUACCUCUCUUUUUAUAUAAUUGUUAGGAGGAUUAAAUUAGAUGCAUAAAAUUGCUGCUUACUACACACAUUGCACAAACUAAAAACUUUUCAAAGGUUAACUGUUUUUCUGGUUUAUUUUUAAGAGACAGGUUCUUGCUCUGUUGCCCAGGCUGGAGUGCAGUGGUGUGAUCACGGCUCACUAUAGCCUCAUCCUGCUGCACUAAAGUGAUCCUCUUGCCUCAGCCUCCUGAGUAGCUAGGACUACAGGCACGUGCCACCAUACCCAGCUAUUUUUUUUUUAAUACAUUUUUGUUGAGGCUGGGUCCCCUUUGCUGUCCAGGCUGGUCUUAAGCUCCUGGCCUCAAGCAAUCCUUCCACUUCUACCUCCCAAAGUGUUGAGAUUAGGGGUGUGAGCCACUCCACCUGACCCAAAGGUUAACUAUUAUUAUUGUUAUUAUUAAUCUGUUUUUUUCCGUUCAUUUCCUCAUUAGUCGACUUUUAUUGUUUCAAUGUUAUUUUAUUGUUUUUCAAAGACUCCUUAUAGUCACAAUAUGUACAUAAUAAAUUUUACCCUUUAAGGACACUGAGGUUCCAAAUGAAAAUGAUAUUUUUAAGAUGAAACAAUUAUAGAUAGAAAAACAACUUUUUUUCUGUGAGUACUAGAUUUCAUAUUAUCCUUAAUGUCUUUCUAGGUAGUAACCAAGCGAUUUCUCAUAAACUGGAAAACAUUAUUCCCACUGAUAUUCUUAAAAACAUUAAGGAUUAAAAAAUGUAUUUUAAAUUCUUCUUGACAGAAAUCAUUUAUUGCAAUUACAUUGCCAAUUCAUAUAUAUAUUACAUAUAUGUCACCUUGACUUAUAGUAACCUGAAGGGGAAAUUUGUAGGUUUAGCAAAUCCCUUCGAGUAACACCCACAGAACUGAAAUCUUAUUCCAUUUCUUGGUGGUCUUCUACCAAUCCAGUCCUCCUGAGGACCAUAAAAACUAUUGGUUCCUCUCCUAAACUGCUGUAAAAUAUAUCCUGUGAGACCCAGGGGAAAAUCUUUCUGAGGUUGAGCAUUCCAUGGAGACUCAAUAUUCCAGAUUUUGAAAUGUAGCUAGAAGUGGAAAUGGAUUUAUUUCUCAGGAUCUCUUUGUUCAUAAUUAAGGAUAUAAAAAAUAGAGUUCAGAAUGUGAGUGAAAUGUAAUUGAAAAGGAAAGCCUUGAUUUUACAUAUAAAAUAUCUUUACCAGAUGGGUGAAGUAAGGUAACUUAAGACGAUACUUAAAAUUCAAUAACAAUGAUGAAACUAUGAAAUACAAAACUUCUGGCACCCAUAAGCUAGUUCCUAGAAAGAAGGUUAUCAUAUAUUGUUAAUGUGUUCACACACUUAACAAAUAUUAAUGUGUUCAUUACAUUUAAGGCAUGAGAACUUACACAUCAUUCAAUGGUGAUAUUAAUAAUAAUUCAGUAAUCAUUAAUGAUGUAUAUGCUGUUAAUAACAACAGGGCAAGUUUAUUUUUCUGUUUUCUCUGAGUUCACUUGACUUUCCCUAAUUUCUGAAGAAUUCAUUCUUUGUGUGC
rnacentral:lncRNA from 1 species